rnacentral:rRNA from 1 species
AACGAACGCUGGCGGCAUGCCUAACACAUGCGAGUCGAACGAGACCUUCGGGUCUAUUGGCGCACGGGUGCGUAACGCGUGGGAACCUGCCCUCAGGUUCGGAAUAACUCCCCGAAAGGGGUGCUAAUACCGGAUAAUGUCUUCGGCCCAAAGAUUUAUCGCCUUUGGAUGUGCCCGAAUUGGAUUAGCUAGUUGGUAGGGUAAAAGCCUACUAAGGCGACGAUCCAUAGCUGGUCUGAGAGGAUGAUCAGCCACACUGGGACUGAGACACGGCCCAGACUCCUACGGGAGGCAGCAGUGGGGAAUAUUGGACAAUGGGCGAAAGCAUGAUCCAGCAAUGCCGCGUGAGUGAUGAAGGCCUUAGGGUUGUAAAGCUCUUUUAACCGGGAUGAUAAUGACAGUACCGGGAGAAUAAGCUCCGGCUAACUCCGUG